rnacentral:rRNA from 1 species
UACGGGGGGGGCAAGCGUUGUUCGGAAUUACUGGGCGUAAAGGGCUCGUAGGUGGCCAACUAAGUCAGACGUGAAAUCCCUCAGCUUAACUGGGGAACUGUGUCUGAUACUGGAUGGCUUGAGUUUGGGAGAGGGAUGCGGAAUUCCAGGUGUAGCGGUGAAAUGCGUAGAUAUCUGGAGGAACACCGGUGGCGAAGGCGGCAUCCUGGACCAACACUGACACUGAUGAGCGAAAGCCAGGGGAGCAAACGGG